AGAGUUUGAUCAUGGCUCAGAUUGAACGCUGGCGGCAGGCCUAACACAUGCAAGUCGAACGGUAACAGGAAGCAGCUUGCUGCUUCGCUGACGAGUGGCGGACGGGUGAGUAAUGUCUGGGAAACUGCCUGAUGGAGGGGGAUAACUACUGGAAACGGUAGCUAAUACCGCAUAAUGUCGCAAGACCAAAGAGGGGGACCUUCGGGCCUCUUGCCAUCGGAUGUGCCCAGAUGGGAUUAGCUUGUUGGUGGGGUAACGGCUCACCAAGGCGACGAUCCCUAGCUGGUCUGAGAGGAUGACCAGCCACACUGGAACUGAGACACGGUCCAGACUCCUACGGGAGGCAGCAGUGGGGAAUAUUGCACAAUGGGCGCAAGCCUGAUGCAGCCAUGCCGCGUGUAUGAAGAAGGCCUUCGGGUUGUAAAGUACUUUCAGCGGGGAGGAAGGGAGUAAAGUUAAUACCUUUGCUCAUUGACGUUACCCGCAGAAGAAGCACCGGCUAACUCCGUGCCAGCAGCCGCGGUAAUACGGAGGGUGCAAGCGUUAAUCGGAAUUACUGGGCGUAAAGCGCACGCAGGCGGUUUGUUAAGUCAGAUGUGAAAUCCCCGGGCUCAACCUGGGAACUGCAUCUGAUACUGGCAAGCUUGAGUCUCGUAGAGGGGGGUAGAAUUCCAGGUGUAGCGGUGAAAUGCGUAGAGAUCUGGAGGAAUACCGGUGGCGAAGGCGGCCCCCUGGACGAAGACUGACGCUCAGGUGCGAAAGCGUGGGGAGCAAACAGGAUUAGAUACCCUGGUAGUCCACGCCGUAAACGAUGUCGACUUGGAGGUUGUGCCCUUGAGGCGUGGCUUCCGGAGCUAACGCGUUAAGUCGACCGCCUGGGGAGUACGGCCGCAAGGUUAAAACUCAAAUGAAUUGACGGGGGCCCGCACAAGCGGUGGAGCAUGUGGUUUAAUUCGAUGCAACGCGAAGAACCUUACCUGGUCUUGACAUCCACGGAACUUUCCAGAGAUGGAUUUGUGCCUUCGGGAACCGUGAGACAGGUGCUGCAUGGCUGUCGUCAGCUCGUGUUGUGAAAUGUUGGGUUAAGUCCCGCAACGAGCGCAACCCUUAUCCUUUGUUGCCAGCGGUCCGGCCGGGAACUCAAAGGAGACUGCCAGUGAUAAACUGGAGGAAGGUGGGGAUGACGUCAAGUCAUCAUGGCCCUUACGACCAGGGCUACACACGUGCUACAAUGGCGCAUACAAAGAGAAGCGACCUCGCGAGAGCAAGCGGACCUCAUAAAGUGCGUCGUAGUCCGGAUUGGAGUCUGCAACUCGACUCCAUGAAGUCGGAAUCGCUAGUAAUCGUGGAUCAGAAUGCCACGGUGAAUACGUUCCCGGGCCUUGUACACACCGCCCGUCACACCAUGGGAGUGGGUUGCAAAAGAAGUAGGUAGCUUAACCUUCGGGAGGGGGCUUACCACUUUGUGAUUCAUGACUGGGGUGAAGUCGUAACAAGGUAACCGUAGGGGAACCUGCGGUUGGAUCACCU
rnacentral:rRNA from 1 species